GAUGAAGAACGUAGCGAAAUGCGAUAAGUAAUGUGAAUUGCAGAAUUCAGUGAAUCAUCGAAUCUUUGAACGCGCAUUGCGCCCGCCAGUAUUCUGGCGGGCAUGCCUGUCUGAGCGUCAUUUCAACCCUCAUGCCCCUAGGGCGUGGUGUUGGGGAUCGGCCAAAGCCCGCGAGGGACGGCCGGCCCCUAAAUCUAGUGGCGGACCCGUCGUGGCCUCCUCUGCGAAGUAGUGAUAUUCCGCAUCGGAGAGCGAUGAGCCCCUGCCGUUAAACCCCCAACUUUCCAAGGUUGACCUCAGAUCAGGUAGGAAUACCCGCUGAACUUAAGCAUAUCAAUAAGCGGAGGA
rnacentral:misc_RNA from 1 species